CAAAGCUGUGGAGAUAUAGUGGAGGUUAUCAUGGAGACAGGUGGUGCAUGGUUGUCGUCAGCUCGUGUCGUGAGAUGUUGGGUUAAGUCCCGCAACGAGCGCAACCCUUAUUGCUAGUUACCAUCAUUAAGUUGGGGGACUCUAGCGAGACUGCCAGUGAUAAACUGGAGGAAGGUGGGGAUGACGUCAAAUCAUCAUGCCCCUUAUGACCUGGGCUACAAACGUGAUACAAUGGCUGAAACAAAGGGCAGCGAAGCAGUGAUGUGAAGCGAAACCCAAAAAAGCAGUCUCAGUUCGGAUUGAAGUCUGCAACUCGACUUCAUGAAGUCGGAAUCGCUAGUAAUCGCGAAUCAGAACGUCGCGGUGAAUACGUUCUCGGGGUUU
rnacentral:rRNA from 1 species